rnacentral:rRNA from 1 species
GAUGAACGCUGGCGGCGUGCCUAAUACAUGCAAGUCGAGCGAACAGACGAGGAGCUUGCUCCUCUGACGUUAGCGGCGGACGGGUGAGUAACACGUGGAUAACCUACCUAUAAGACUGGGAUAACUUCGGGAAACCGGAGCUAAUACCGGAUAAUAUAUUGAACCGCAUGGUUCAAUAGUGAAAGACGGUUUUGCUGUCACUUAUAGAUGGAUCCGCGCCGCAUUAGCUAGUUGGUAAGGUAAUGGCUUACCAAGGCAACGAUGCGUAGCCGACCUGAGAGGGGGAUCGGCCACACUGGAACUGAGACACGGUCCAGACUCCUACGGGAGGCAGCAGUAGGGAAUCUUCCGCAAUGGGCGAAAGCCUGACGGAGCAACGCCGCGUGAGUGAUGAAGGUCUUCGGAUCGUAAAACUCUGUUAUUAGGGAAGAACAAAUGUGUAAGUAACUAUGCACGUCUUGACGGUACCUAAUCAGAAAGCCACGGCUAACUACGU